AUUGAACGCUGGCGGCAGGCCUAACACAUGCAAGUCGAGCGGAUGAAGGGAGCUUGCUCCUGGAUUCAGCGGCGGACGGGUGAGUAAUGCCUAGGAAUCUGCCUGGUAGUGGGGGAUAACGUCCGGAAACGGGCGCUAAUACCGCAUACGUCCUGAGGGAGAAAGUGGGGGAUCUUCGGACCUCACGCUAUCAGAUGAGCCUAGGUCGGAUUAGCUAGUUGGUGGGGUAAAGGCCUACCAAGCCGACGAUCCGUAACUGGUCUGAGAGGAUGAUCAGUCACACUGGAACUGAGACACGGUCCAGACUCCUACGGGAGGCAGCAGUGGGGAAUAUUGGACGAUGGGCGAAAGCCUGAUCCAGCCAUGCCGCGUGUGUGAAGAAGGUCUUCGGAUUGUAAAGCACUUUAAGUUGGGAGGAAAGGCAGUAAGUUAAUACCUUGCUGUUUUGACGUUACCAACAGAAUAAGCACCGGCUAACUUCGUG
rnacentral:rRNA from 1 species